UGCAGGGGCAGUUGUGAUUUCCAUGGGUGACGGUCACAGCUGCGCUCCCAAUCUCGUGGUUUGUUCCCUCCUUUACGAUCAGGGGACUUAUGACUUUCAGCUGGAAGUUAGUGGAUUCUCCCCAGAAUCUCCCACGGAACUGAGCUCCAUAUGGGAGUGUAGUUAGCAUGCAUCGCCUCCAUCUGAACUGCUGUAUCAAAACACCAGGAACUAGUUUGGCUUAUCAACAACAGAAGGUUCUGUCUCACAGCUCUGGAGGCUGGGAAGCCCACGAUCCAGGUGCUGGCUGCUUUGGUAUCUGGUGAGCGCCUGUUUCCUAGUCCAAAGGUGGCACCUAACACAGCGAAGGUGGCAAGGCUCUGGGGUCUCAUUUACAAAGACACUGACGGCAUGCACCUAUUAUGCUGUUACUUGACCCCCAAGGGCUGCUCCUCCAAAUACCAUCACUGUGGGGGCUGGGAUUUCAACAUGAAUUCGGGGAGCAUACAAAUGGUCGGAUCAUAGCGGCAUCUCGUA